AUUUUUAGAUAGACAUAUAUUAAAUAUUUCUCUCUCCCUCCCUCCCUCCCCCUCUCUCUCUCUCCCUUUUUUUCACCUGAUAUCAAGGGUCAUGGUGGAGUAGAUACUGGAAAUAUUUUGCUUGCUUAGAUAAAUGGCUAUUGGGACCCUAAGUUUAUUGACAAUGGUUCAAUUCGAGAGUGGGAUUUUCAAUGGCCUACCUCCUCCUUGUUCCCCCAAGUUGUCGCCACAUAGUCACAUCUCACUCACUAAGCCAUCUUGGGUUGUGAGAACGGAGUCAAAUGUUAAGAAGAAGAGAAGAAAGAAGCCGGAUCCGCAUUGUGUAGUCUGAGGGGAGUGGACGAGUCGAUUGCCACCAGUGUCGUGGGAAAGGAAGGACAAACCAGGUUCAUUUGGAAAUGCUCCCGAAAGGCGAAUGGCCAAAAUGGUGUAGAACUUGUGGCGGAAGCGGUCUUGGUUACUGCUCCCGUUGCCUUGGUACCGGAGAAUAUAGGUAUAUUAUGGGAUUCCAUUUCAUGAACAGGGACGAUGAUAAAUCCCAAGAAAACAAGUCUUAGCUUUUUCUCCCUUCUUUUGGCUAAUGAUAUUAGGGAUAGAGAUAAUAGAUAAUGUGAUAGCAUAGGUGUAUUGUCUGUAAGUUAGAACUACUGAAUGUUUUGUCAUUUUAUCACAUAAUGUAGAAUCACCAUUAAUAGAUUGUUCCAACUCUUACUUCCUUGUGCAAUUUGAUUUUAACAUGCUGA